AUUGAACGCUGGCGGCAUGCUUUUACACAUGCAAGUCGAACGGCAGCGGGGGCGUUCGGCCUGCCGGCGAGUGGCGAACGGGUGAGUAAUGCAUCGGAACGUACCCAGUUGUGGGGGAUAACUACUCGAAAGAGUAGCUAAUACCGCAUACGCCCUGAGGGGGAAAGGCGGGGGAUCUUCGGACCUCGCGCAAUUGGAGCGGCCGAUGUCGGAUUAGCUAGUUGGUGGGGUAAAAAGCCCACCAAGGCGACGAUCCGUAGCGGGUCUGAGAGGAUGAUCCGCCACACUGGGACUGAGACACGGCCCAGACUCCUACGGGAGGCAGCAGUAGGGAAUUUUCGGCAAUGGGGGAAACCCUGACCGAGCAAUGCCGCGUGAACGAUGAAGGUCUUCGGAUUGUAAAGUUCUGUGAUUGGGGAAGAAUGGUAUUCUUAGGGAAUGAGGAGUACAUGACGGUACCCGAUUAGAA
rnacentral:rRNA from 1 species